AUUGAUUAUCAACAGGCCUCAGCAAUGUGUAUAUUUUCCACCGAUCAUAAUAUAUCCUAUUCUACGGGCCUCCUAAUCCUAACUCAAUAGAAUAUUUUUCGCUUCAAAUUUGAAUGUAGAUGGUAAAUAAUUGAAAUUAACUUGACUUUGACGUAUAUUGUCUUCAUUGUUAAUUAACUUCAAUUAUGACAACUAUGGCCGAAGAUUUUACUCAGCUGGCUCACGCAAUUAAGUCUCUGGAGAGAACAAUCAGGCAAAACAAUUUAAUAUUAAAUGGUAAACAACCGUCGAAACGUAUAUCUACUGAAACGGACAGCCGUAAGGCAGUGAAAUUGAAGGCAUUACCUUCCGAGGAUGCAAUAGAAGAUGAUGAGAUUAUUAACAGGGUUUGUCUGCUUCGUCUGUUUAUCAGUUCGCAAAUAAGUAUAUACAGUUCGUAGUAGUUUCGCGUAAAUAUAUUUAAAUAAAAAAAAAAUGUUUAUUCAGAAGUCUUAUUAACUCAGCCUAAAUCAGUUUUGGUGCUAUAUAAUCCUAGGUGUUUCGUAUUAAUAAACCGGUACUAAUCGAUUUUUUUCUUGUCGAAUCGAUCAUUUAAGGUUGAUAUUGUUGUUAUUAGUAAACCAUGGAUAAUCAGACAAAUAAAAAGGUGAGAUAGACGUAAUGAAAGGUUUAUUUAAGCACAGCGAAGCUGAUUACUAUAUACAAGAACAAAGGAAGCUAAGAAAUAUGGAACAAAAUCGAACAGCAAUUUUAUUUUCGUUACAGCUUCCUAGAGGAUAAAACAAUCGAUAAUAUAAUGUAUCCUUUAUUCUCCAGCGGGAGGUCUAUAUUAGGGUAGUUUUCCUCAAAUUGGGCGAAAUCGAUACGCUUAAGGAGAAAUACGCCGCUGACGUUUUCUUUCAAGCUCGCUGGAGAGAGGAAAGGUUCGAUAACAAGGACGAGAUAGUUUGUUAACUUACAAAAGCACAUAAGCAAGCUAUUAAUGCAAGCCUUGUUUUUUAUUAUCGUGUUAGGAAGAAGACGAUAUUGUUUGGGAUGAGUAUUGGUCACCUAAGCUUUCUAUUGAGAAUUUACUUAAUUCUACAUUAAUGGAUGUGUGGAGAUUAGUUGAGAAAGACGAGAAUGGACAUGCGUAUAUAACAGAGAAGCACAGAAUAAACGGAACUUUUGCAGAGUCGCUUGAGUUAAACGAGUUUCCGUUCGAUACUCAGGAUUUAACUAUUAAAGUCAUAACUGAAAGAUCGGAAGCGGAAGUGCAGCUAUGUGCCGAUAAGCAUGAAAUAUCUUCAGUCAAUAAUCAAUCAUUCGUCGACGAACAAGAAUGGAGAUUGCAUAGUGCUGUAAUGACAUGGAAUGUUGUAACGGCUAAAGUUUAUAAGAAUAGAAGACAUAAGCAUCCUGCCUUAUGUUCAGCGUGUAAGGUCACAAGAAGGCCCGAAUUUUUCAUAUGGAAUAUUCUUGUUGUCAUGAUGUUUAUCUGCAGUCUGGCUUUUGCUACAUUUACUGUCGAUUAUAAAUUACCUCAGAAUAGACUGCAAUUAACUUUUAUCUUACUGUUAACAACUGUUACAUUCAAGUUUGUCGUAAACCAAAGUUUGCCAAAAAUAUCCUAUUUGACUUAUUUAGAUAAAUAUAUACUUACGUCAAUGACGAUCCUUAUCUCGAUAUGUGUUUGGCACGCCAUCGUACCGAAACUGGGAUUAGAUGACGAAGAUUCGGAAGAGGCAGAUAAGAUUGCCCUUGGGGUGCUCGGUGCCAUCUAUCUUGUCUUUCAUAUUUUUUUUGGAUUCUGGAUUUCUUGUGCGUCUUUGAAGAAGAGGCUUAAUAUUCUUAAAGAGGAUGCGGAUUACCUCGCUAAAAUCAAUGGUAAAAGCCCCAAGAAAGUUGCCCCAUCUGAUGAACCAAAUCAAGAUCUGGCUUAAUCUUUCAACGGAAAGGAUAAAGAUUCCAAUAAAAAAUACUUCAAUUAUUGACAUUUGUGUUCUCUUUUUCCAUUUUUUAUAUUAAAUAUCUUGACGAUUAUAUUGUAUUUCUUAUUUCAAAGGGAAAAAUUGCCUUGAUUGUUAUUUUAAUAAUUACAAGUCGAUAUUCAAAUUUUAUCAUCAAUUGUGUAUUAUUAGUCUUACUUCGUUUCGUUUGUUUGAUGGCAAAAUAAAAGCUUGAAAGAUUC
rnacentral:misc_RNA from 1 species